AUGUGCGAUGGUCUGAGGAGGCUUGGAGACAUCUAUAAUGGCGUCGAAGAGAUCAUCUGCCUACCAAGCAGCCAACUCUGCUCCUACCAGCAGAGGACUGUGUUGGAUGGAGAUAUGGAAGGUUCUCUCGAGCUGCUAGAUCUCUGUGGCACCAUGCAAGAGAUCUUCGCCGAGAUGAAGGCCAUCAUCAAAGAGAUGCAAUGCAAGUGGCUCUAA
rnacentral:rRNA from 1 species